AGAACACUUAUUCACUCGUGUUGACUUGACGUUGGUUAGUUAUGUUGUACUGAUAACUGUGUGGAUAUAUAUAACUUUGUAUACCUGUAUGUAUUGAUAAGGUACUGAUAACUGUAAAUAUUGAAAAUUGAUCAAUGUCUGUAUUGCUCUCUACAGGACACCAGACGUCAGUGAUUGCUACAGACCAGAACUACAGACAGAACUUCACAGCAGCUGGACAACAGCAGAUCCACCCAGCUAAAGACCAUACGCAGUAUCAUAGAUAUGAUUACCAAUGAGACCAAGGAUGUGUGCUGUUCUUUCGACUUUGCAACGUUAAGUGACCCACUGGACCCACGAUGACCCCAACAGGUUGUUGUGUUCUAUGAAGCUCUCUGAGUGACAUAGCGGUAUGACCCACGAUGACCCCAACAGGUUGUUGUGUUCUAUGAAGGCUCAUCUGAGUGACAUAGCGGUAUGACCCACGAUGACCCCAAACAGGUUUGUGUGUUCUAUGAAGGCUAUCUGAGAUGACAUAGCGGUAUGACCCACGAUGACCCCUUUAUAACAGGUUGUUGUGUUCUAUGAAGGCCUCCUGAGUGACAUAGCGG
rnacentral:lncRNA from 1 species